rnacentral:rRNA from 1 species
UACGGGGGGAGCAAGCGUUGUUCGGAUUUACUGGGCGUAAAGGGCGCGUAGGCGGUCGUGACAAGUCACUUGUGAAAUCUCCGGGGUUAACUCGGAAAGGUCAAGUGAUACUGUCGGACUAGAGUACAGAAGGGGCAACUGGAAUUCUCGGUGUAGCGGUGAAAUGCGUAGAUAUCGAGAGGAACACCUGCGGCGAAGGCGGGUUGCUGGGCUGAUACUGACGCUGAGGCGCGAAAGCUAGGGGAGCGAACGGG